rnacentral:rRNA from 1 species
CACGUAGGGCGCAAGCGUUGUCCGGAAUUAUUGGGCGUAAAAGAGCUCGUAGGCGGUCUGUUGCGUCCGCUGUGAAAACCCGGGGCUUAACCCUGGGCUGGCAGUGGAUACGGGACAGACUAGAGGUAGGUAGGGGAGAAUGGAAUUCCCGGUGUAGCGGUGAAAUGCGCAGAUAUCGGGAGGAACACCGGUGGCGAAGGCGGUUCUCUGGGCCUUACCUGACGCUGAGGAGCGAAAGCGUGGGGAGCGAACAGG